rnacentral:rRNA from 1 species
GACGAACGCUGGCGGCGUGCUUAACACAUGCAAGUCGAACGGAAAGGCCCUGCUUUUGCGGGGUGCACGUGUGGCGAACGGGUGUGUACCACGCGUGUAUACUGCCCUUGACUUUGGGAUAACUUCAGGAAACUGGGGCUAAUACCGGAUAGGAGCUCCUGCUGCAUGGUGGGGGUUAGAAAGUUUCGGUGGUUGGGGAUGGACUCGAGGCUUAUCAGCUUGUUGGUUGGGUAGGGGAUUACCAAGGCUUUGCCGGGUAGCCGGCCUGAGAGGGAGACCGGCCACAUACGUUGGGAGAGACAGCCCGGACACAUACGUGAGGCAGGGGGGAGUAGUAUUGCGUAAUGGGCGGAGGCCUGAAUCAUGAACGCCGCGUGCGUGAUGACGGCCUUCGUGUUGUAUACCGCUUUCGCCUGUUACGAAGCAUGAGGAACGUUACUAGGUAAAGAAGCACCGGCAAACUACGU